rnacentral:tRNA from 2 species
AAAUCCGUCGACUUUUAAAAUCGUGAGGGUUCAAGUCCCUCUAUCCCCAA